AGAGGUUACCAUGGAGAUUGUACGAACGAUUCAAUGUCUCUCUCCUCGGGCAAGGCCGUUUGGUUUGUUGGUUAGCAAUACUCAACAUGAUUCCAGCGAUAUGACGGCGGUCUAUGUAUUCAUCGGAAGUCGUGGUAGUGGAGGACAUCUACAGUCUAGCUGCACAACAACACCCCGUGGACCUCGGGGAUCACGCCUGAAAAAAGAAUAAAGAAUAUCCUUCAGAUCGAAA